AUUGAACGCUGGCGGCAGGCCUAACACAUGCAAGUCGGACGGUAGCACAGAGAGCUUGCUCUUGGGUGACGAGUGGCGGACGGGUGAGUAAUGUCUGGGGAUCUGCCCGAUAGAGGGGGAUAACCACUGGAAACGGUGGCUAAUACCGCAUAACGUCGCAAGACCAAAGAGGGGGACCUUCGGGCCUCUCACUAUCGGAUGAACCCAGAUGGGAUUAGCUAGUAGGCGGGGUAAUGGCCCACCUAGGCGACGAUCCCUAGCUGGUCUGCGAGGAUGACCAGCCACACUGGAACGGAGACACGGUCCAGACUCCUACGGGAGGCAGCAGUGGGGAAUAUUGCACAAUGGGCGCAAGCCUGAUGCAGCCAUGCCGCGUGUAUGAAGAAGGCCUUCGGGUUGUAAAGUACUUUCAGCGGGGAGGAAGGCGGUGAGGUUAAUAACCUCGCCGAUUGACGUUACCCGCAGAAGAAGCACCGGCUAACUCCGUGCCAGCAGCCGCCGUAAUAC
rnacentral:rRNA from 1 species